UGGGGAAUCUUGGACAAUGGGGGCAACCCUGAUCCAGCGAUGCCGCGUGAGCGAAGAAGGCCUUAGGGUUGUAAAGCUCUUUCGCCCGCGACGAUGAUGACGGUAGCGGGAGAAGAAGCCCCGGCUAACUCCGUGCCAGCAGCCGCGGUAAUACGGAGGGGGCUAGCGUUGUCCGGAAUUACUGGGCGUAAAGCGCGCGUAGGCGGUCCACCAAGUCGGGGGUGAAAGCCCGGGGCUCAACCCCGGAAUGUCCUCCGAGACUGUUGGACUGGAGUUCGGGGGAGGAGAGCGGAAUUCCCAGUGUAGAGGCGAAAUUCGUCGAUAUUGGGAAGAACACCGGUGGCGAAGGCGGCUCUCUGGCCCGCAACUGACGCUGAGGCGCGAAAGCGUGGGGAGCAAACA
rnacentral:rRNA from 1 species